rnacentral:sRNA from 1 species
AAGCUUUGAGAAGCAAGAAGAAGGUUGGUUAGUGUUUUAAAGUCGAAUAUGACUUGAUGUCAUGUGUAUGAUUGAGUAUAAGAACUUAAACCGCAACCGGAUCUUAAAGGCGUAAGAAUUGUAUCCUUAUUAGAAGACACAAAGCCAAAGACUCAUAUGGACUUUGGCUACACCAUGAAAGCUUUGAGAAGCAAGAAGAAGGUUGGUUAGUGUUUUAAAGUCAAAUAUGACUUGAUGUCAUGUGUACGAUUGAGUAUAAGAACUUAAACCGCAACCGGAUCUUAAAGGCGUAAGAAUUGUGUCCUUGUUAGAAGACACAAAGCCAAAGACUCAUGUGGACUUUGGCUACACCAUAAAAGCUUUGAGAAGCAAGAAGAAGGUUGGUUAGUGUUUUAAAGUCGAAUAUGACUUGAUGUCAUGUGUAUCAUUGAGUAUAAGAACUUAAACCGCAACCAGAUCUUAAAGGCGUAAGAGAUGUAUCCUUGUUAGAAGACACAAAGCCAAAUACUCAUAUGGACUUUGGCUACACCAUGAAAGCUUUGAGAAGCAAGAAGAAGGUUGGUUAGUGUUUUGGAGUCGAAUAUGACUUGAUGUCAUGUGUAUGAUUGAGUAUAACAACUUAAACCGCAACCCGAUCUUGUAAGCCUAAGUAGUGUAUCGUUGUUAGAAGACACAAAGCCAAAGACUCAUAUGGACUGUGGCUACACCAUGAAAGCUUUGAGAAGCAAGAAGAAGGUUGGUUAGUGUUUUGGAGUCGAAUAUGACUUGAUGUCAUGUGUAUGAUUGAGUAUAAGAACUUAAACCGCAACCUGAUCUAUAAGCCUAAGUAGUGUAUCCUUGUUAGAAGACACAAAGCCAAAGACUCAUAUUGACUUUGGCUACACCAUGAAAACUUUGAGAAGCAAGAAGAAGGUCGGUUAGUGUUUUGGAGUCGAAUAUGACUCGAUGUCAUGUGUAUGAUUGAGUAUAA